rnacentral:misc_RNA from 1 species
AAUAAUUUAUUUGAAAGGAAGCCUAAAAGAAUAAACGGUAAAACCUUGUUUGAAAUGAUUCUUAUGAAAGAACUCAAUUAUAUUCUAUUAAAAGAAUUUAGUUCAAAUGCUAUCCACCAUCACCAAUAACAAUUACCUUUAACACUUGCCAUAUUACUAGUUCACAUAAUAUUUUUUUUCAAAAUGUCCUCUUAUUUCUCUCUCCUAUUUAUCACUAAAAGAUAAAUCAAAAUUCUUUUUUCUCUCUCUAUCACUUAUUUACAUGUUUAUCCAUCAUUAACUAUCUAAGAAAGAUAGAUGAUGUGGACCAAUAACAUGACAAUUGUUACAAGUGAUUGUUAUUUCAGAUGGUAGCUAGUAUUUCUUAUGAUAGAAUUCAUUUGUUUAGAACAACUGAUAAGUGAAAUGAAUGUAUUUAUUUUCAUAU